AUGGCCAUCUUCGAUGAGUUCUAUGUCGGAUCCAUCGACCUCGGGCGCCUCAACUAUGGGAUCAUCUCGCUCAUCCCGAAGGUUCCGGGCGCCUCCGACAUCCGCCAGUUUCGUCCGAUCACGGUCAUCAACGUGAUCUUCUGGAUUCUGGCGAAAGGGUACGCCAAUAGAGUGACCCUCCUCGCUGACCGCAUUACCCACCCCAACCAGUUCGCCUUCAUUCAGGGGCGGUAUAUCCUGGAUGGGGUGCUUGUUCUUCAUGAAAUCCUCCAUGAGGUCCGGUCUAAACACCUCAGGGCGGUUUUCUUGAAGAUCGAUUUCCAUAAGGCCUACGACACCGUUAGUUGGCCCUUCCUUCGGGAAGUUUUGCUCCGGAAAGGCUUUGACGACCGUUGGGUCACCAGAGUUAUGCAGAUGGUCUCUUGCGGUCGCACUGCCGUGAACAUUGAAAGUGCUAGUAUCGACUAG
rnacentral:rRNA from 1 species